rnacentral:lncRNA from 1 species
GGAGUGGGUGGACACGGACACACAGCUUCACAGGUAACGAAAAAUAAGUACUGAUUAGUUUUGUUCUUAGUGUUGAGCGAGCUACUGAUGUGUUUUGUUAAAAGCAGGUUGGAUAGGAGGAGGCAGCGAAAAAUCAAGGAUUGGCAGAAGCAUCAUAAGAGCUAUGUCGUUAUGUUCGAGCAAAGUGUGCACGCAGCUUCGAGCAUACGACGAACCCAGUACCGCCAGCAUUGUCCUCUUGCGUUCAGCAACUACUUAAGAUGGUUUCAGGCGAGUACUCGUG